CCUACGGGAGGCAGCAGUGGGGAAUAUUGGACAAUGGGGGGAACCCUGAUCCAGCCAUGCCGCGUGUGUGAAGAAGACCCUCGGGUUGUAAAGCACUUUCAGUGAGGAAGAACGCCUGGUGGUUAAUACCCAUCAGGAAAGACAUCACUCACAGAAGAAGCACCGGCUAACUCCGUGCCAGCAGCCGCGGUAAUACGGAGGGUGCGAGCGUUAAUCGGAAUUACUGGGCGUAAAGCGCGCGUAGGUGGCUUGAUAAGCCGGUUGUGAAAGCCCCGGGCUCAACCUGGGAACGGCAUCCGGAACUGUCAAGCUAGAGUGCAGGAGAGGAAGGUAGAAUUCCCGGUGUAGCGGUGAAAUGCGUAGAGAUCGGGAGGAAUACCAGUGGCGAAGGCGGCCUUCUGGACUGACACUGACACUGAGGUGCGAAAGCGUGGGUAGCAAACAGGAUUAGAUACCCCUGUAGUC
rnacentral:rRNA from 1 species